rnacentral:lncRNA from 1 species
UGGGAAAACUCCAGGCGAUUUCUUGGGCAAGGACAAAGAAGAUUCCUUUUCUGGGAGUUUGUCUUGGGAUGCAACUAGCAGUGAUAGAGUUUGCAAGAAACUGCCUUAACUUGAAAGAUGCUGAUUCCACAGAGUUUAGGCCAAAUGCCCCAGUUCCUCUGGUGAUUGAUAUGCCCGAGCACAACCCUGGCAAUUUGGGAGGAACAAUGAGACUGGGAAUAAGAAGAACUGUUUUCAAAACUGAAAAUUCAAUAUUAAUAAGCUUGUCCCUUGGGCUGGCCUCAGUAGAACACACUGAAUGCCCCUCCGCAUUUGAUCUGCGUGACUCCCUGUUCAUUGGGCUGUUUUGUGAGUUACCGAUGCUCCUGGAGAUGAACUUGGACUGGGACUUGGACUGAUUCACACUCAGUUCUUUUGAAUCCACAGUUCUCUCCAUUACAUUUGAACCGGUUCCCUGUUUAAUGUCUGUUUGCCUGGUCUUAGUGACUCACAAAUGAACUUCCGAGUAGGAGGGCAGUUAUGCACCUCAGAAGCGUAUUUCUCUGUUCCCUGGCAGCCCCAGUGUGGGGAGAUGGCUCGCCAUUUGAUAUUUGCUGAUCUUUCCACUCCCCAUAAGGUUAAUUCUAAUUUCUGUGGAACUUUUUCAUAAAUUAGCAUAUUAUAUAAGAAUAACUUAUUGUUUAAAACAAACUAAAGCCUUUAAUUCAAUUUAAUAAAUGUAUCUUGAGUGCCC